UGUGGUGGCGAUAGCGAGAAGGAUACACCUGUUCCCAUGCCGAACACAGAAGUUAAGCUUCUUAGCGCCGAUUGU
rnacentral:rRNA from 1 species